rnacentral:ribozyme from 1 species
AGCAAUACCUUGCUGAUACGGAUAUGGAUCCGAAGCCUCUACAACUUAGACUCUCCACCUUCUACUCCUACUCAAUACGUCUCCGUCAUACAGAACGGUAACAUGUCUCCCAAUUUUCCAAGCUUGGGUAUACGGGGAAACCCAACCCCUUGGGCGGAUAGGUUGCAUGGCUAAAUUGAGAGAG